rnacentral:pre_miRNA from 1 species
AGCGUUCUGUACCCGUGCUAAGAUUUCGUCACAUACCACACCACAAGUACAGAUGAAACUCAAAACAUAAGUGAAGCA